rnacentral:lncRNA from 1 species
CUAUUCUGAACUGGAACACAAGGGGAAUUGGUGAACUAAAAAAAUGAUGUACCAUCAGAGAAAUCAUUAAGAUUUGAACUGUAUGAUUGUGUGCAUCCAAGAAACAAAACAAGCGACAAUUAUAAGACAUCUACUGAAAUCUAUUUAUGGCUUGAAGUUUUCUGAAUGGAAUGCAAAGAAUGCAUCUGGUACAACAGGCGGUCUAUUAACUUGCUGGAAUCCAGCU